UUGGAGGGCAAGUCUGGUGCCAGCAGCCGCGGUAAUUCCAGCUCCAAUAGCGUAUAUUAAAGUUGUUGCAGUUAAAAAGCUCGUAGUUGAAUUUCGGGAUUAGUACGCUGGUCGUGCCUUCGGUACGUACUGGUGUUACUGAUUUCAACCUUCUGACGAACCAUCAUGUCAUUAAUUUGGUGUGGUGGGGAAUCAGGACUGUUACUUUGAAAAAAUUAGAGUGUUUAAAGCAGGCUUGCGCUUGAAUACAUUAGCAUGGAAUAAUGAAAUAGGACGUUGAUCCUAUUUUGUUGGUUUCUAGGAUUGACGUAAUGAUUAAUAGGGAUAGUUGGGGGCAUUAGUAUUCAAUUGUCAGAGGUGAAAUUCUUGGAUUUAUUGAAGACUAACUACUGCGAAAGCAUUUGCCAAGGAUGUUUUCAUUAAUCAAGAACGAAAGUUAGGGGAUCGAAGACGAUCAGAUACCGUCGUAGUCUUAACCAUAAACUAGGCCGACUAGGGAUCGGAUGAUGUUAUUUUUAAUGACUCAUUCGGCGCCUUACGGGAAAC
rnacentral:rRNA from 1 species